rnacentral:lncRNA from 1 species
AGAAAAAGGAAAAGAAAAUCAGAUUUCGCUCAUCAAAAUGUAAAUUCUCUUUACUGACGCCAUCAUUACGUCAACAGUUUGUGCUUGUUCUGUGGAAUUUCUUUCAAGUUACAUUAAAGAAGAACGCCUUUGUUUUCGCGCGCUUUCCAACGGGAUGUUUCUAAGUGUACGUGUUUGCUCGCUUUGGAAAAUUAAACGAAAAAUGCAAACAACGACAUACACGAAACCACUUCCCAAUGUAUUAUUUACAAAGUGGGCUCUUGACACGGCCGCGGUAAAAUGUCUAAGCUUUCAACACCGACAGCUGGUGGACGGAAGAGUUUGUUUGCUCCUGGCACGUGGUGUCGCCCGCGAGUUCUUGGCGCGCGUUAUUUGUUUUUCCAUUUACCGCCAAACCUGACAUGUCCAAAUCUUCAAUAAUUAUUUCUAUAACUUGAAAACGGACGCUUGACAACAGAUGCUUCAGAAUUUUCUAGGCUUCACGUGAGCUAUGUUCUAAGGAAAGAGCGAAUGCUCCGUGUACAUAGCUUUGUUAUACUAUGCAUUGUGAGACAAUUCCCUACGAGUCAAAUACACUGGUUUUUCCCUGGAAUCCCUUUCCUCUCUUAAAGGUGUUAUUUUAAUAUACGAGUGGAUAAUACAGGUUAAUUGAAACCCACAAACGUAAUCUCUGUUAUGCCAUUUUCGUCAUCAAACAUUGAAUGAAAGCCUACUUUCCCUCGAAUGAUAAAGUUUAUCGUGCCAUGACAAAUAGUUUUCAGGUGUCGAAGCAUCUGAUAGCUGGCAGUUAAUAAACUCCUUAACGGCAAAGUCAAUGGGAAAUAAAUAAAAACCUAAGACAAAAAAAGAAACUAACUUCCAAAAAGUCCUAAGAAAAGUCUUGGCUAAAGUAAUGAUAACUACUUGCAACUGAAGCAGUUUUGAAAUGACUCCUUUAAUACUGUGCAGCAUUAAUUGUAAAACCUAUUGACAUUCAUGGUAAGAAAACGGAUGAAGAAUGGGUACAUUCGCAAGACGGAAACCGCAACCAAUUAAGCAAACAGCAUUACACACUUUAAUAACUAAACUAGGUGUUAACUAAGAAAGAAAUGUGGAAUUUUCUGCAACGAUUCCGCGAGGGAAGAUAAAAAUGGUGAGUAAUUGUCCAGCCAAACACAGUAACGGGCUAUCCUUAUUGAAUUAUGGCCAAAAUUCAAUUGGAAGACAAGGGUGUUGAUCUUUAUCACCUCUUACCUCAAAUUGAGCCUAUUGAAUCUAUUCAACAAAAGGAAAUUAGUAAUUGCGGCCUGAAACUUGUUAAAAGAACCAUAAUAGAGCUAUCAAACAUUUCCUUAUUAAUGGCAAGUAAUUAUCGUCUGCAACUCAUUUUAAAAGCGGCUGGGUUUAUUAUUACUAAUGCCGAGAUCACAUAAAUUGCCUCUGCUCCGUUCAGUCGUUCAAAAAACAGAAUCUUUCACAACUACAACGUUGUACAGAAAGGCAAGAAUCAGUACUCCGCUUUUAGAAUGAAGAACAUAACAUGGUAUAUAGGUGCGAUAUUUUUGGCUUCAUGCCUUCUUGUAACUACAACCGGCUCAAUGCCAGCUCGUCAAGGUAAGUCGCCGUGUAAUAAGCUAGAUAUUAACUUCAAAUUCCAAUGAACAAAAGUCUAAUGUGCCCUUCUAGUGCUGUAUCCACUUCAUUCCAUUGUGAAAGCUAACAAUCGUUUUGACCAUGAUCAUAACAUGACGGGCAGAAUUGUAAUUUAUGUAUGAUCAUAAACACAAAAAAUCUAAUGUACAUUACCUGCUUGGGUUAUGUAAUAAACUUUUCUACCUCGAAAUAUAAUUUCGUCUUAUAAUAUCUCUGAUCAGUUCAUCAUUUCAUGACAAUUUUGGGGCGAAAACUCCUCGUUGAAAUAUUCCUCCCACGAAUAUAAAGACGGAACACAUUCCAAUACGAGAUGUACUCUUACUCCUGAGACGGGUUUAGGAGAUUAAUCCCUAAAUUCUAAACCUGGGAUAAAGCACUUGUAGCUUUCAGGGCCGGGUUGUUCAAAGCCCGAUUACGCUAACCAAGGUUAGCAAGAAUUUUGAUUUAAGUUUUGUAUCUAUUCGAUGAAGUUUUUGUCUAUAUUGUUUGUCUCUCAGUUUUUAAUUUAAAUAAUCGCAAGCCACUGAAAACAUGGGCAAUGACAAUUUUUAUAAAGAAAAAUUAAUACUUCGGUGAACUUUUAAUCCUGGGUUAACGUUAAGCGGCUUUCGAAUUAACAACGCGGCCCUCUGAUGGGUUCCCUGAAUUUGGGUUAUCAGCCAUUAUACCCGUCUUUGACUGUAUAUGUGGAAUAUGAAUGCGGUGGGUCGCCAGUGAAGGAAAGCUCUUUCCAAAAAAACAUGGCUGAAAGAAGUACAUUUGGUGAGCUUUCUAUCGCCAAAAUAAGGAAACAAUACGAGGCAAAUCUAUAAAUCCGGAAACUAUAAAAAGCCAGAAAAUACCACAAUCAACUAAACUACUUAUUUAAUCGAAAGGGCUUGUAAA